CCUACGGGUGGCAGCAGUGAGGAAUAUUGGUCAAUGGACGGAAGUCUGAACCAGCCAUGCCGCGUGCAGGAAGACGGCUCUAUGAGUUGUAAACUGCUUUUGUACAAGGGUAAACCUGAAUACGUGUAUUCAGCUGAAAGUACCGUACGAAUAAGGAUCGGCUAACUCCGUGCCAGCAGCCGCGGUAAUACGGAGGAUCCAAGCGUUAUCCGGAUUUAUUGGGGUUAAAGGGUGCGUAGGCGGAUUGAUAAGUUAGAGGUGAAAUGUCCGCGCUUAACUCGGGAACUGCCUCUCAUACUGUUGCUCUAGAGCUUAGUUGCGGUAGGCCGAAUGUAUUGUGUCGCGGUGAAAUGCU
rnacentral:rRNA from 1 species